rnacentral:rRNA from 1 species
UAUGUGAUCGUCUCUCGCAUAUCAAUAAGCGGAGGAAAAGAAACUAACAAGGAUUCCCCUAGUAACGGCGAGUGAAGCGGGAAGAGCUCAAAUUUGAAAUCUUAAAGGGUUUCCCUUUACGAAUUGUAGUUUAAAGAAGUGUUUUCUGUUGAGGUUUUGGUAAAAGUUCUUUGGAAUAGGACAUCAUAGAGGGUGAGGAUCCCGUAUUUGACCUUUACUUUCAACUUUGUGAUACACUUUCAAAGAGUCGGAUUGUUUGGGAAUGCAGUCCAAAAUGGGUGGUAAAUUUCAUCUAAAGCUAAAUAUUGGCGAGAGACCGAUAGCGAACAAGUACCGUGAGGGAAAGAUGAAAAGAACUUUGAAAAGAGAGUUAAACAGUACGUGAAAUUGUCAAAAGGGAAGCGUUUGACACCAGUGUUGUUUUUCUGAAAAUCAAUUAAAGAACUGUUUAUGCUAAGCUGUUUAGACUUUAUCAGCUAUCUGUUUAGUUUUGAGCUUUUCUUUAAUGCACUUUUCAGUUAACAAGUCAACAUCAAUUUCUUUUGCUGUAAAAAAGCUUGAGGAAGGUGGCUUGAGAUUCGUCUUAAGUGUUUAUAGCCUCUUGCCUAUGCAGUCGGAGAGAUUGAGGUCUGCAGCGUAGAUCCUUCGGGGCUAAAUGCAUUUGUGCUAAGUUAUAGCAUUUUAUAGACAACUUGUUGACUAUGAUUUGUCUUGUAGCUUACUCGCUUAUGUUAUUUUACCUACGCUUAGGAUGUUGAGCGCAUGUCUCUCUCU